GAUGAACGCUAGCGGCAGGCCUAAUACAUGCAAGUCGAACGUGACUCUAGUCUUCGGAUUAGACGAAAGUGGCGCACGGGUGCGUAACGCGUAUGCAACCUACCCUUAACUGGGGGAUAGCCCGGAGAAAUUCGGAUUAAUACCCCAUAGUAUUCCAGAUUGGCAUCAUGAAGGAAUUAAAGAUUUAUUGGUUAAGGAUGGGCAUGCGUAACAUUAGCUAGUUGGUAAGGUAAUGGCUUACCAAGGCAAUGAUGUUUAGGGGUUCUGAGAGGAUGAUCCCCCACACUGGUACUGAGAUACGGACCAG
rnacentral:rRNA from 1 species